UACGUAGGUGGCAAGCGUUGUCCGGAUUUAUUGGGCGUAAAGGGAGCGCAGGCGGUGACUUAAGUCUGAUGUGAAAGCCCACGGCUCAACCGUGGAAGGUCAUUGGAAACUGGGUCACUUGAAUGGAGCAGAGGAGAACGGAAUUCCAUGUGUAGCAGUGAAAUGCGUAGAUAUAUGGAGGAACACCAGUGGCGAAGGCGGUUCUCUGGGCUCACAUUGACGCUGAGGCUCGAAAGCGUGGGUAGCGAACAGG
rnacentral:rRNA from 1 species